UGGAGUGUUGUAGCGCGAGCGACAGCGACGCCGACAGCCUCACGGCCGGCCCCGAGUACGAAGACGCCGUGUCAGACUAUGAGGAUAGCACUGUAGAGGACGGGCCUCUAUGGUAAGUGUCUUAUAACCAUGUUGUAGCGCGAGCGACAGCGACGCCGACAGCCUCACGGCCGGCCCCGAGUACGAAGACGCCGUGUCAGACUAUGAGGAUGGCACUGUAGAGGACGGGCCUCUGUGGUAAGUGUCUUAUAACCAUGUUGUAGCGCGAGCGACAGCGACGCCGACAGCCUCACGGCGGGCCCCGAGUACGAAGACGCCAUGUCAGACUAUGAGGAUAGCACUGUAGAGGACGGGCCUCU